rnacentral:rRNA from 1 species
AUUGAACGCUGGCGGCAGGCCUAACACAUGCAAGUCGAGCGAGCGGCGGACGGGUGAGUAAUGCCUGGGAAUUGCCCAGUCGAGGGGGAUAACAGUUGGAAACGACUGCUAAUACCGCAUACGAUUGGAUUGCCCAGGUGGGAUUAGCUAGUUGGUGAGGUAAUGGCUCACGAAGGCGACGAUCCCUGGCUGGUCGCAGAGGAUGAGCAGCCACACAGGAACUGAGAAACGGUCCAGACUAUUACGGGAGGCAGCAUGGGGGAAUAUUGGAAGCUGGGGGAAACCAUGAUGCAGCCAUGCCGCGUGUGUGAAGAAGGCAUUCGGGUUGUAAAGCACUUUCAGCGAGGAGGCGUUACUCGCAGAAGAAGGACCGGCUAACUCAGUGCCAACAGCCGCGGUAAUAC